UACGUAGGGGGCAAGCGUUGUCCGGAAUCAUUGGGCGUAAAGAGCGUGUAGGCGGUCCGUUAAGUCGGCUGUGAAAGUCCAAGGCUCAACCUUGGGAUGCCGGUCGAUACUGCCGGACUAGAGUUCGGAAGAGGCGAGUGGGAAUUCCCGGUGUAGCGGUGAAAUGCGCAGAUAGUCGGGAGGAACACCUAUGGCGAAGGCAGCUCGCUGGGACGUUACUGACGCUGGAGACGCGAAAGCGUGGGGAGCAAACAGG
rnacentral:rRNA from 1 species